GAGGGUAUAGCUCAGGGGUAGAGUACAUGCUUAGCAGGCAUGAGGUCCUGAGUUCAACCCCUAGUACCUCCA
rnacentral:tRNA from 1 species